ensembl:snRNA U1 U1 spliceosomal RNA
AUACUUACCUGGCAGGCAAGAUACCAUGAUCAUGAAGGUGGUUUUCCCAGGGUGAGGCUUAUCUGUUGCUCUCCGGAUAUGCUGACCCCUGUGGUUCCUCCAAAAAUGGGAAACUCAACUGCAUAACUUGUGGAAGUAGGGGACUGUGUUUGUACUCUCCCCUG